rnacentral:rRNA from 1 species
UACGUAGGGGGCAAGCGUUGUCCGGAAUUAUUGGGCGUAAAGAGCGCGUAGGCGGUCCGGUAAGUCGGCUGUGAAAGUCAAGGGCUCAACCCUUGAAAGCCGGCCGAUACUGUCGGACUAGAGUCCGGAAGAGGCGAGUGGAAUUCCCGGUGUAGCGGUGAAAUGCGCAGAUAUCGUAAGGAAGACCAGUGGCGAAGGCGGGUCUCUGGACAGUUCCUGACGCUGAGGCACGAAGGUCAGGGGAGCAAACGGG